rnacentral:rRNA from 1 species
CCUACGGGAGGCUGCAGUGAGGAAUAUUGGUCAAUGGACGCAAGUCUGAACCAGCCAUGCCGCGUGCAGGAAGACGGCUCUAUGAGUUGUAAACUGCUUUUGUACGAGGGUAAACGCAGAUACGCGUAUCUGUCUGAAAGUAUCGUACGAAUAAGGAUCGGCUAAACUCGUGCCAGCAGCCGCGGGAAUACGGAGGAUUCAAGCGUUAAUCGGAUUUAUUUGGUUUAAAGGGUGGGGAGGCGGUCAGAUAAGUUAGAGGUGAAAUCCCGAGGCUCAACUUCGGAAUUGCCUAUGAUACUGGUCGGCUAGAGAGUAGUUGCGGUAGGCGGAAUGUAUGGUGUAGCGGUGAAAUGCUUAGAGAUCAUACAGAACACCGAUUGCGAAGGCAGCUUACCAAGCUACUACUGACGCUGAGGCACGAAAGCGUGGGGAGCAAACAGGAUUAGAUACCCCUGUAGUC